AGCGAACGCUGGCGGCAGGCCUAACACAUGCAAGUCGAACGGACCCUUCGGGGUUAGUGGCGGACGGGUGAGUAACACGUGGGAACGUGCCUUUAGGUUCGGAAUAGCUCCUGGAAACGGGUGGUAAUGCCGAAUGUGCCCUUCGGGGAAAGAUUUAUCGCCUUUAGAGCGGCCCGCGUCUGAUUAGCUUGUUGGUGGGGUAAUGGCCCACCAAGGCUACGAUCAGUAGCUGGUCUGAGAGGAUGACCAGCCACAUUGGGACUGAGACACGGCCCAAACUCCUACGGGAGGCAGCAGUGGGGAAUCUUGCGCAAUGGGCGAAAGCCUGACGCAGCCAUGCCGCGUGUAUGAUGAAGGUCUUAGGAUUGUAAAGUACUUUCACCGGUGAAGAUAAUGACUGUAGCCGGAGAAGAAGCCCCGGCUAACUUCGUGCCAGCAGCCGCGGUAAUACGAAGGGGGCUAGCGUUGCUCGGAAUUACUGGGCGUAAAGGGAGCGUAGGCGGACAUUU
rnacentral:rRNA from 1 species